rnacentral:rRNA from 1 species
UACGUAGGGUGCAAGCGUUGUCCGGAAUUAUUGGGCGUAAAGAGCUCGUAGGCGGUUUGUCGCGUCUGGUGUGAAAAUCCAGGGCUUAACCCUGGACCUGCAUCGGGUACGGGCAGACUAGAGUGCGGUAGGGGAGAUCGGAAUUCCUGGUGUAGCGGUGAAAUGCGCAGAUAUCGGGAGGAACACCGGUGGCGAAGGCGGAUCUCUGGGCCGUAACUGACGCUGAGGAGCGAAAGCAUGGGGAGCGAACAGG